GUUAGACGAACGGUCUGGAAAGUCCGACGAUACAGGGUGAUAGUCCCGUAGUUGACGACGUGUGUUCAGUGAAAUCGAGUAGGGCGGGACACGUGAUAUCCUGUCUGAAUAUGGGGGGACCAUCCUCCAAGGCUAAAUACUACUGACUGACCGAUAGUGAACCAGUACCGUGAGGGAAAGGCGAAAAGAACCCCUGUGAGGGGAGUGAAAUAGAACCUGAAACCGUGUACGUACAAGCAGUAGGAGCAGGCUUUGUCCUGUGACUGCGUACCUUUUGUAUAAUGGGUCAGCGACUUAUAUUCAGUGGCAAGGUUAACCAUCUAGGGGAGCCGUAGGGAAACCGAGUCUUAACUGGGCGUUCAGUCUCUGGAUAUAGACCCGAAACCAGGUGAUCUAGCCAUGGGCAGGUUGAAGGUUGAGUAACAUCAACUGGAGGACCGAACCGACUAAUGUUGAAAAAUUAGCGGAUGACUUGUGGCUAGGGGUGAAAGGCCAAUCAAACCUGGAGAUAGCUGGUUCUCCCCGAAAGCUAUUUAGGUAGCGCCUCGGACGAAUACUACUGGGGGUAGAGCACUGUUAAGGCUAGGGGGUCAUCCCGACUUACCAACCCUUUGCAAACUCCGAAUACCAGUAAGUACUAUCCGGGAGACACACGGCGGGUGCUAACGUCCGUCGUGGAGAGGGAAACAACCCAGACCGCCAGCUAAGGUCCCAAAUUACUACUAAGUGGGAAACGAUGUGGGAAGGCUCAGACAGCCAGGAUGUUGGCUUAGAAGCAGCCAUCAUUUAAAGAAAGCGUAAUAGCUCACUGGUCGAGUCGGCCUGCGCGGAAGAUGUAACGGGGCUAAGUAGUAAACCGAAGCUGCGGCAAUGUGCUUUUGCACAUUGGGUAGGGGAGCGUUCUGUAAGCGGUUGAAGGUGUGUGGUAACGCAUGCUGGACGUAUCAGAAGUGCGAAUGCUGACAUGAGUAACGAUAAAGGGGGUGAAAAACCUCCUCGCCGGAAGACCAAGGGUUCCUGUCCAACGUUAAUCGGGGCAGGGUAAGUCGACCCCUAAGGCGAGGCCGAAAGGCGUAGUCGAUGGGAAACGGGUUAAUAUUCCCGUACUUCUUACAAUUGCGAUGGGGGGACGGAGAAGGCUAGGUGGGCCUGGCGACGGUUGUCCAGGUUCAAGUGCGUAGGCUU
rnacentral:rRNA from 1 species